rnacentral:rRNA from 1 species
GGUGUGUGAGGUAGUGGGUGGCGGGGUAUGCGUGGGGGUCGAGCGGUGUCCGGUUGUUAUGGGAGUAAAGAGCGUGCAGGCGGCCCUGCCGGUCGGCUGUGAAAACUGGAGGCUUAACCUCCAGACGUCGGUGGGAACCGCAUGGCUAGAGGCCGGAAGAGGAGAUUGGAAUUCCCGGUGUAGCGGUGAAAUGCGCAGAUAUCGGGAAGAACACCCGUGGCGAAGGCGGCUCUCUGGGACGGUACUGACGCUGAGACGCGAAAGCGUGGGGAGCGAACAGGAUUAGAUACCCGAGUAGUC